rnacentral:rRNA from 1 species
GAUGAACGCUGGCGGCGUGCCUAAUACAUGCAAGUCGAGCGAACAGACGAGGAGCUUGCUCCUCUUACGUUAGCGGCGAACGGGUGAGUAACACGUGGAGAACCUACCUAUGAGACUGGGAUAACUUCGGGAAACCGAAGCUAAUACCGGAUAAUAUAUUUAACCGCAUGGUUCAAUAGUGAAAGACGGUUUUGCUUUCACUUAAAAAGGUAUCCGCGCCGCAUUGCUUAGUGGGUAAGGUAAGGGCUUACCAAGCCAACGAUGAUUAGCCGACCUGAGAGGUUGAUCGGCCACACUGGAACUGAGACACGGUCCAGACUCCUACGGGAGGAAGCAGUAGGGAAUUUUCCGAAAUGGGCGAAAGCCUGCCGGAGCAACGCCGCGUGAGUGAUGAAGGUCUCCGGAUCGUAAAAUCCUGUUAUUAGGGAAGACCAAAUGUGUAAGUAACUAUGCUCGUCUUGACGGUACCUAAUCAGAAAGCCACGGCUAACUACGUG